AUUGAACGCUGGCGGCAGGCCUAACACAUGCAAGUCGAGCGGAUGAGGGGAGCUUGCGCCUGGAUUCAGCGUCGGACGGGGGAGUAAUGCCUAGGAAUCUGCCUGGUAGUGGGUGAUAACGUCCGGAAACGGGCGCUAAUACCGCAUACUUCCUGAUGGAGAAAGUGGGGGAUGGUCGGACCGCACGCUAGCAGAGGAGCCUAGGUCGGAUUAGCUAGUUGGUGGGGUGAAUACCUACCAAGCCGACGAUCCGUAACUCGUCUGAGAGGCUGAGCAGUCACCCUGGAACUGAGACACGGUCAAGACUACUACGAGAGGCAGCAGUGGGGAACAUUGGACAAUGGGGGAAAGCAUGACACAGUCAUGCCGCGUGUGUGACGAAGGUCUUCGGAUCGUAAAGAACUCUUAGUUGGGAGGAAGGGCUGUAAGUUAAUACGUUGCUGUUUUGACGUUAAUAAGUGAAUAAGCACCGGCUAACUUCGUG
rnacentral:rRNA from 1 species